AACGCUAGCUACAGGCUUAACACAUGCAAGUCGAGGGGUAACGAGAGGAAAGCUUGCUUUCCUUGUCGACGACCGGCGCACGGGUGAGUAACGCGUAUCCAACCUGCCCCCAACUAGGGAAUAACCUUGCGAAAGUAAGACUAAUACCCUAUAAUUUCCUCAGAUGUCAUCUGACGAGGAAUAAAGAUUUAUCGGUUGUGGAUGGGGAUGCGUCUGAUUAGCUUGUUGGCGGGGUAACGGCCCACCAAGGCAACGAUCAGUAGGGGUUCUGAGAGGAAGGUCCCCCACAUUGGAACUGAGACACGGUCCAAACUCCUACGGGAGGCAGCAGUGAGGAAUAUUGGUCAAUGGGCGGAAGCCUGAACCAGCCAAGUAGCGUGCAGGAUGACGGCCCUAUGGGUUGUAAACUGCUUUUAUACAGGAAUAAAGUUAGCCACGUGUGGUUAUUUGUAGGUACUGUAUGAAUAAGGACCGGCUAAUUCCGUGCCAGCAGCCGCGGUAAUACGGAAGGUCCAGGCGUUAUCCGGAUUUAUUGGGUUUAAAGGGAGCGUANGCCGUCUGUUAAGCGUGUUGUGAAAUGUAGAUGCUCAACAUCUGAAUUGCAGCGCGAACUGGCAGACUUGAGUGUGCGCAACGUANGCGGAAUUCGUGGUGUAGCGGUGAAAUGCUUANAUAUCACGAANAACUCCNAUUG
rnacentral:rRNA from 1 species